rnacentral:lncRNA from 1 species
AUAACAUCAAUUUACUUAUGUAUCCACAAGAUUCCUUAAUUACUUGGCACAAUAAAAAAUGCUACUCCGUCCGUUCGCUUUUACUUGUCACUAUUUUCCUAAUUUGAUUUCUAUUUUUACUUGUCAUUUUUGACAAAUCAAGUAAAGCCGAAAUUUUGUUUCCAUGUUUUACACUUAGCAUUAAUUAGUUGUUCCUUAAAUUAUUUUUCAAUACCGAUUGCUAAAUAUCUAUUAA